UACGAACCGUCCAAACGUUAUUCGGAUUUAUUGGGCUUAAAGGGUAUGUAGGCGGCCCUUCAAGUCGGGUGUGAAAGCCCUCGGCUCAACCGAGGAACUGCGCCCGAUACUGUGGGGCUUGAGGGAGGCAGAGGUAAGCGGAACUGAUGGUGGAGCGGUGAAAUGCGUUGAUAUCAUCAGGAACACCAGUGGCGAAAGCGGCUUACUGGGUCUCUUCUGACGCUGAGAUACGAAAGCUAGGGGAGCGAACGGG
rnacentral:rRNA from 1 species